rnacentral:rRNA from 1 species
GUCGAGAAUAAUUCACAAUGGGGGAAACCCUGAUGGUGCAACGCCGCGUGGAGGAUGAAGGUCUUCGGAUUGUAAACUCCUGUCAUCUGGGAGUAAGACCUGACGGUGAAUAGCCGGCAGGGUUGAUAGUACCAGAAGAGGAAGGGACGGCUAACUUCGUGCCAGCAGCCGCGGUAAUACGAAGGUCCCAAGCGUUGUUCGGAAUCACUGGGCGUAAAGGGAGCGUAGGCGGCGUGGUAAGUCAGAUGUGAAAUCACGGGGCUCAACCCCGGAACUGCAUCCGAUACUGCCAUGCUUGAGGGUUGGAGAGGUAGCUGGAAUUCUUGGUGUAGCAGUGAAAUGCGUGGAGAUCAAGAGGAACACUCGUGGCGAAAGCGAGCUACUGGACAAUAUCUGACGCUGAGGCUCGAAGGCCAGGGUAGCGAAAGGGAUUAGAAACCCUGGUAGUCC